rnacentral:rRNA from 1 species
CCUCGGGAGGCAGCAGUGAGGAAUAUUGCACAAUGGGGGGAACCCUGAUGCAGCAACGCCGCGUGGAGGAUGACGCAUUUCGGUGUGUAAACUCCUUUUAUAUGUCAAGAAAAUGGCGGUAGCAUAUGAAUAAGCACCGGCUAACUCCGUGCCAGCAGCCGCGGUAAUACGGAGGGUGCAAGCGUUACUCGGAAUCACUGGGCGUAAAGGACGCGUAGGCGGGUUGGAAAGUCAGGUGUGAAAUCCUACAGCUUAACUGUAGAACUGCACUUGAAACUUCUAAUCUAGAGUAUGGGAGGGGGAGAUGGAAUUAGUGGUGUAGGGGUAAAAUCCGUAGAUAUCACUAGGAAUACCUAAAGCGAAGGCGAUCUCCUGGAACAUUACUGACGUUAAGGCGUGAAAGCGUGGGGAGCAAACAGGAUUAGAUACCCUCGUAGUC